rnacentral:rRNA from 1 species
AUUGAACGCUGGCGGCAGGCCUAACACAUGCAAGUCGAGCGAGCGGCGGACGGGUGAGUAAUGUAUGGGGACUGCCCGAUAGAGGGGGAUAACUACUGGAAACGGUAGCUAAUACCGCAUACUAUCGGAUGUCCCAUAUGGGAUUAGCUCGUAGGUGAGGUAAUGGCUCACCUAGGCGACGAUCCCUGUCUGGUCUGCGAGGAUGAGCAGCCACAGUGGAACGGAGACACGGCCCGGACUCCUACGGAGGCAGAAGUGGGGAAGAUUGCACAAGGGGCGAAAGCCUGAUGCAGCCAUGCCGCGUGGAUGAAGAAGGCCCUAGGGUUGGAAAGUACUUUCAGUCGGGAGGCGUUACCGAAAGAAGAAGCACCGGCUAACUCCGUGCCAGCAGCCGCGGUAAUUC